rnacentral:rRNA from 1 species
UACAGAGGGGGCAAGCGUUGUUCGGAAUUACUGGGCGUAAAGGGCGCGUAGGCGCCUUCUAAGUCGAACGUGAAAUCCCCGGGCUCAACCCGGGAACUGCGUCCGAUACUGGAAGGCUUGAUCCGGGAGAGGGAUGCGGAAUUCCAGGUGUAGCGGUGAAAUGCGUAGAUAUCUGGAGGAACACCGGUGGCGAAGGCGGCAUCC